GCAGAAAUAGCUGCUCGGAGAGCGUUAGAUUAUAGAUCGAAAAGUCCCUGGUUCGAUCCCGGGUUCGGCA
rnacentral:tRNA from 1 species